CCCGAAUUAGGACAACAUAUAACCCUUGUAUGGGUUUCCUAAAAUUCAUUCUAUCCUCUUUAUUUACCCUAACAUCUGGAGCAUGUUCUCGUUGUACUUCCCUGUUGAGUUCAUCCGUCUCCACUUGUGGGUUAUUAAUCUUCUUGUAUUUUAUGGUUAUUGUUGUUGAUGAUGUCUUAUCAUUUAGCAAGAUUGUGUUCUCUAGUGAAUGGUGUAGAGUCUUGCUUCAACUCUGAGGAUAUAGUAUUCUAUUACCUCAUCUUAUCGACUGGUGAAGCUGGAAUGGAGUGCAGGGGUAGCUUCAAUCUAUCAUGCCAAGUUAUAAAAUGUUCGGUACCGGGUUCUACAAGCACAAUUUGACCUCAGAUCCUCUAUUUUGUCGGGUUAUUUUUUGUAGGUUGAUGUAUAUAGGCUAAGUAGUAUAUUACUCUUUUAUUGUCUUUGUGGCUAUUUGUAAAUACUGUAUAUGAUAAACUAUACGUUAAGCCUUCCCAACCCCUUAUCCAUUUAAUGGUGAUACUCUCAAGUAUGGACAUUAUAGUUUAUCACUCUUUAACAACUUUUUGCC